rnacentral:rRNA from 1 species
AUCUGCAGUCGACGGGAUUUGGGAGCUUGCUUCCAUGAGAGUGGCGCACGGGUGCGUAACACGUAUGUAACCUACCUUAAUCUGGGGGAUAGCCUCUCGAAAGAGAGAUUAACACCGCAUAACAUCACGAUAUAGCAUUUUAUUGUGAUCAAAUAUUUAUAGGAUUAAGAUGGGCAUGCGGAACAUUAGCUAGUUGGUAAGGUAAUGGCUUACCAAGGCUACGAUGUUUAGGGGAUCUGAGAGGAUGACCCCCCACACUGGUACUGAGACACGGACCAGACUCCUACGGGAGGCAGCAGUAAGGAAUAUUGGUCAAUGGGCGCAAGCCUGAACCAGCCAUGCCGCGUGCAGGAAGACGGCCCUACGGGUUGUAAACUGCUUUUGUACCGGAAUAAACUUUGAUACGUGUAUCAAGCUGAAUGUACGGUAAGAAUAAGGAUCGGCUAACUCCGUGCCAGCAGCCGCGGUAAUACGGAGGAUCCAAGCGUUAUCCGGAUUUAUUGGGUUUAAAGGGUGCGUAGGCGGUUCUUUAAGUCAGGGGUGAAAGACGGUAGCUUAACUAUCGCAGUGCCUUUGAUACUGAAGAACUUGAAUACACUUGAGGUAAGCGGAAUGUGACAAGUAGCGGUGAAAUGCAUAGAUAUGUCACAGAACACCAAUUGCGAAGGCAGCUUACUAAAGUGUCAUUGACGCUGAGGCACGAAAGCGUGGGGAUCAAACAGGAUUAGAUACCCUGGUAGUCCACGCCCUAAACGAUGAAUACUCGAUGUUGGCGAUAUAUGGUCAGCGUCUAAGCGAAAGCGUUAAGUAUUCCACCUGGGGAGUACGCCCGCAGGGUGAAACUCAAAGG